AUUGAACGCUGGCGGCAGGCCUAACACAUGCAAGUCGAGCGAGCGGCGAACGGGUGAGUAAUGUAUGGGGCCUGCCCUAUAGAGGUGGAGAACUACUGGAACCGGUGGCUAAUAACGCGUACUGUCAGAUACCCCAUAGGGGAUUAGCUAGUAGGUAAGGUAAUGGCUUACCUAGUCGACGAUCCCUAGCUGGUCUGAGAGGCUGAUCAGCCACACUGGGACGUAGACACGGCCCAGACUCCUACGGAGGCAGCAGUGGGGAAUAGUGUACAAUGGGCGCAAGCCUGAUGCAGCCAUGCCGCGUGUAUGAAGAAGGCCCUAGGGUUGUAAAGUACUUUCAGUCGGGAGGCGUUACCGACAGAAGAAGCACCGGCUAACUCCGUGCCAGCAGCCGCGGUAAUUC
rnacentral:rRNA from 1 species